rnacentral:lncRNA from 1 species
AAUGCUUGAAUCAAAAAGGUUUAAAAGCUUCAAACUCGGGAAGCAUUUAAAGGGGCUGAAUGAGAAAAAAGGUUGCAGAAUUCCAUUUCGUCUAAUGCCUCUGAUAUUAGGACAGUGCCUCCCCAUCGCUUCUAAAAUCAAGGGGAUCAUGUAUGGUGAAUCAGAGAAGUCCACAAGUUCUAAGAUUGAGACAGCAACGAACAACUUCCAAUAAGACUUCUUCAGAGGCAUUGAAGGAUCCAUGAAAUGAUAGGUGCUUCAAAUUAGGACAUCUAUGAAAAAGUAAGACGAGACAUUAAAAGUCUUGCGGAUUGAGCAAAUCCAGCAAAUGCAAGAGUAAAAUGUUGCAGACAUCCCUGUUUAAGUUUUUAGUUGAAGUGAUUCACAUUACACAUUACAACAAGUUAU